rnacentral:rRNA from 1 species
UACGAAGGGGGCUAGCGUUGCUCGGAAUCACUGGGCGUAAAGCGUGCGCAGGCGGUUCUAUAAGACAGAUGUGAAAUCCCCGGGCUCAACCUGGGAACUGCAUUUGUGACUGUAGAGCUGGAGUGCGGCAGAGGGGGAUGGAAUUCCGCGUGUAGCAGUGAAAUGCGUAGAUAUGCGGAGGAACACCGAUGGCGAAGGCAAUCCCCUGGGCCUGCACUGACGCUCAUGCACGAAAGCGUGGGGAGCAAACAGG